UUCCAGCAAACUUCACGGGGGAACAAUGAGGGCAAAACCGCAUCAUCGAUCAGUUUUAACCAAAUAUUCUCUGGUUCAGCUCACCUAAAGACAGCGU